rnacentral:rRNA from 1 species
AUUGAACGCUGGCGGCAUGCCUUACACAUGCAAGUCGAACGGCAGCAUGGAGAGCUUGCUCUCUGAUGGCGAGUGGCGAACGGGUGAGUAACGCAUCGGAACGUACCGUGUAAUGGGGGAUAACGUAGCGAAAGUUACGCUAAUACCGCAUACGACCUGAGGGUGAAAGCAGGGGGUCGCAAGACCUUCCGUUAUACGAGCGGCCGAUGUCAGAUUAGCUAGUUGGUGAGGUAAAGGCUCACCAAGGCGACGAUCGGUAGCGGGUCUGAGAGGAUGAUCCGCCACACUGGGACUGGAACACGGCCCAGACUCCUACGGGAGGCAGCAGUGGGGAAUAUUGGACAAUGGGGGGAACCCUGAUCCAGCCAUGCCGCGUGUGUGAAGAAGGCCUUAUGGUUGUAAAGCACUUUAAGCGAGGAGGAGGCUCUUUUGGUUAAUACCCAAGAUGAGUGGACGUUACUCGCAGAAUAAGCACCGGCUAACUCUGUGCCAGCCGCCGCAGUAA